rnacentral:rRNA from 1 species
GACGAAGGGGGCUAGCGUUGUUCGGAAUUACUGGGCGUAAAGCGCGUGUAGGCGGUCGUGCAAGUCGGGUGUGAAAGCCCUGGGCUCAACCCAGGAAGUGCAUUCGAUACUGCGCGACUGGAGUCCCGGAGAGGAUGGUGGAACUCUCGGUGUAGAGGUGAAAUUCGUAGAUAUCGAGAAGAACACCGGUGGCGAAGGCGGCCAUCUGGACGGUGACUGACGCUGAGACGCGAAAGCGUGGGGAGCAAACAGG